rnacentral:rRNA from 15 species
GGAACUCGGCAAAUUGCCUCCGUAACUUCGGGAGAAGGAGGCCCGGGCAUUGGGCAACCAGUGUCCGGGGGCACAGACCAGGGGGUAGCGACUGUUUACUAAAAACACAGGACUCUGCGAAGUCGCAAGACGACGUAUAGGGUCUGACGCCUGCCCGGUGCUGGAAGGUUAAGUGGAGGGGUGCAAGCUCCGAAAUGAAGCCCC